GAUGUAAGUAAGAAUUCUGUAUAAUUUAUUUUUUUUGGAAACUUUAGAUAUGAGAAUAAGAGUUCGGCUAUAAUGUUAUCGAUAGCAUCAAGCAGUUGGUACUAUCAUAUUUUCUGCCAUGAAAUCAAACUCUUUAAUCAUUUUCAUCCGUUAGAUCAUACUAUUCAACCAACCACCAACUCAAUUAGAGGACCACUAUCGUCAUAACCGUACAUCGCUUCAUUUAAGGGCCGAAAACUUAAUAGCACCAAUGAUUUGGUGGUAUUAAUAGUAUUAUAUCCUAGUUCUAAGAAUAAUCCCACAUAGAAUCAUAAUAACUUGAACCGUGCGUUUGGUUCGCAUUAUGAAAGAUUACUAAGAAUGAAAAGAUAUCCGAGAAUCUUAUUCUUAUUCAUCCUAUUACUAAGAAUGUGGAAUUCCUGUGUUUGGUUCGCACCGUAAUAUUAUUUAGCCAUAUUAUUUAAUAUUACAAAAAAUAUAAUUAAUUAAUUUAUUUUUUUAAUUAAUUUUAUAUAAUGUUAUCAAAAGUUUCAACAUCUUUUUUAAAAAAAGGGAGAGAGAGUAUAAGUUAGAGAGAGAGAGAUCAUAACUAAAAAAAUAGAAAGAAAAAUAUAGUCGAAAUUAGAGGGAGUGAGAGAGUUGAAAUUUUAGAAAGAGAGAGAGAGAGGGAAAGCUUAGUCUAGAGAGAGAAAAAAAGUUGAAUUUUAGAGAGAAAAAUAAGUUUAGAGAGAGAUAUAAGGUUAGAGUGUAAAGAAAAAUAAUAUCAAUUAGCCGACGAAUAGGAAGAAAGAAGAGAUUAGACAUAUUAUUAUAAUUAACCCAAUCCAUUAAUAUGAGGAUACCCACCCUCACUCAAGGGAAUGAGAUUAGCACUUUGGGGUUGUUGGGCCAAUUCG
rnacentral:lncRNA from 1 species